UAUAUACUCACUCCGUUCCGAAUUACUUGUCUUAGAUUUGUCUAGAUACGGAGGUAUCUAGCACUAAAAUGAGUCUAGAUACAUCCGUAUCUAAACAAAUCCAAGAAGUAAUUCUGAACGGAGGAAGUAGAAA
rfam:Triticum aestivum genome assembly, contig: Triticum_aestivum_CS42_TGACv1_scaffold_000014_1AL